UUCCUUUACACAGCAGGAGAGUUGAGCCCGGUGCUGGUGUUGUCCCACCCCAAAGCUCAACACUAGACCAACUUAUAACCUAUUAUUAUUUGUGGAAAC